rnacentral:rRNA from 1 species
CCUACGGGUGGCAGCAGUGAGGAAUAUUGGGCAAUGGGCGCGAGCCUGAACCAGCCAAGUCGCGUGAAGGAUGACUGCCCUAUGGGUUGUACACUUCUUUUAUAUGGGAAUAAACUGUUCCACGUGUGGGAUUUUGUAUGUACCAUAUGAAUAAGGAUCGGCUAACUCCGUGCCAGCAGCCGCGGUAAUACGGAGGAUCCGAUCGUUAUCCGGAUUUAUUGGGUUUAAAGGGAGCGUAGGUGGGUUGUUAAGUCAGUUGUGAAAGUUUGCGGCUCAACCGUAGAAUUGCAGUUGAAACUGGCAGUCUUGAGUACAGUAGAGGUGGGCGGAAUUCGUGGUGUAGCGGUGAAAUGCUUAGAUAUCACGAAGAACUCCGAUUGCGAAGGCAGCUCACUGGAGUGAAACUGACACUGAGGCUCGAAAGUGUGGGUAUCAAACAGGAUUAGAUACCCCGGUAGUC